CUGGUCGGCUAGAUGGUCGCUGCCAACGUUGAGUUGGGAGAGGAAAGUCCGGGCUUUAAAGGGCAGAGCGGUCGGUAACGCCGACCAAUCGUAAGGUUAGGGAAAGUGCCACAGAAAACAGACCGCCGAACGGGUCUUCGGACUGCGUGGUAAGGGUGAAACGGUGAGGCAAGAGCUCACCAGCGUUGUGGGUGACUGCAGCGGCUUGGUAAACCCCGCUCGAAGCAAGAUCAAACAGAGGGGAGCAAUGCGAGCCGGCUCGGCUCGCCACCACCUUCGGGUAGAUCGCUCGAGGCUGCAAGCAAUUGCAGUCCUAGAUAAAUGACCAUCGUCGUCAACCGGGGGCCAAGCGUCUCCGGUGCACGUCACAGAACCCGGCUUAUCGGCUCGCCAAUGCA
rnacentral:RNase_P_RNA from 1 species